AUGGAAACGUAGAGAUGAAUAAAUAAGUCACAGGCCUUGGUCCCUUGGAGUUCACAGUCUAAUGGGGAAGACAGGAUAUAAGCAAGUAGUUUCAGCAUAGCUUUGGAAUUGCAUGCAGAGAAGUGAGUGAAGUGAGUGAGGGCCCAGCCAAGGCUGGAGUAAAGUGGCAUGAUCUCGGCUCACUGCAGCCUCCGCCCCCGCCAGGUUCAAGUGAUUCUCCUGCCUCAGCCUCCCGAGUAGCUGGGAUUACAGGCGCAGGCCACCAUGCCCAGGAAAAGGUGCAGAGUUUGAUGACCCCAGGACCUGGAAUUUACCUAGUCAGAGAGAUCAAGGAAGGCUUCCCUAAGGAAGUGGUGCAGAGCUGAGAUCGGAAGAAGCAGGGAUGUUCUCCACAGAAAGAACAUGCUCAGAAGCCCAGUCAGCAGCAGGAAGGAGUGUGGUGAUUUUGAGGAACCGAAAGAAGACCAGCAUGGCUGGAGAACAGAGGAUGGGGGUGUGAUAUGUGACGAGCGAAGAGAAGUCACCCGUACUUCAUUUACCAGUCCUUGCUAAGGAUUAUUCAUUAAAACACACAACAGCAACAAUAACCACAAAAGCAACAAUAAAAAUACCUUUGAACUCACUCAAUCUUGAACUAUUGAACAUGCUAAGUCCGUGUCAUUGGCCUACUUAAUCAGCCCUCGAUUGUAACUUGAAGAAGCUUAUUGAUAAGAAAAUAAACUUCUCAUAAAGUAUAACUACUUUCUUA
rnacentral:lncRNA from 1 species